rnacentral:lncRNA from 1 species
UGCCUUUCUCUGUCUUUGCACUUCUCUCGAACCCAGUCAAUGGUAUGGAAGUCAUCGUACGUUCCUACUCCAGGAAUUGGUUCAUCCAGAAGAUCCAGUAAAUGUGUUGAACUGUUGAUGCUUCCUCCAUUUGUCAUUGUAUAAUGAGUUCCUCUUUUAUGCAGCUCCCGGAGCGGAAUGCCGUCUCCUCCGCCAUCGUAGGGCAAGUACGGGUCGGAAGAGGCAUCCAUGGAGGCGAGGAGCUGCUCCCGCCCGCCGACGGAAGGGCCGCCCGGGCGCUCAGCGCAGCGCCGCUGCCAUGUCGGCCGGGCCCAGCCUACCCGCCGCCGC